AACCAUAGAAACCUGCGGAGUACCUGCGGAAGGAUCAUUACCGAGUCACGUGCUCAAAUAACCCUUCUGUGGACCUGAAAUAAAACCGUUGCCUCGGCGGGCGGUCCCCCCAACCAAACCCCACGUGGUGGGUUAGGGGACCAGACAGUCCGGCACGCUUAAGGCGUCCGGCGCCAGCCGCUGGCCCCAAACAAUUAAACUCCUAGUAACCCUUACCUUCUGAGUUUCAAUAUUUUAAAA
rnacentral:misc_RNA from 1 species